GAUGAAGAACGCAGCGAAAUGCGAUACUUGGUGUGAAUUGCAGAAUCCCGUGAACCAUCGAGUCUUUGAACGCAAGUUGCGCCCGAAGCCACUAGGCCGAGGGCACGCCUGCCCGGGCGUCACACGUCGUUGCCCCCCACCAUCUACUCCUUCGGGAUUGCGGGGGGCGGAUGAUGGCCUCCCGUGCGCCUAGCCGCGCGGUUGGCAUAAAUACCAAGUCCUCGGCGACGCACGCCACGACAAUCGGUGGUUGCGAAACCUCGGUUGCCCGUCGUGUGCGUUCGUCGCGCAUCGAGGGCUCGAAAAAAUGCUCGGCUCCGGCUCGGCUUUCAACGCGACCCCAGGUCAGGCGGGGUUACCCGCUGAAUUUAAGCAUAUCAAUAAGCGGAGGA
rnacentral:misc_RNA from 1 species